CUACUAGAAGGUAAAGUUCUAACACUUUAACAGAAGUAGACAUCACGUAGUUAUCUACAUGUUUUCAUUAUCAAGAGGAACGGAUGGAAAUCCCAAGAUAUCCGAGUGGGUUGAACGGAUGGAAAUCCCAAGAUAUCCGAAUAUAUAUUGGAAGGGAAAGAGUUGGAGUUCUACAUGAAGAAGAUUCAGAGGAAGAAGGGCAAGGGUGGUGCCGGGGCUGCUGCUUAAGCCGAGAGCUCUUAUUAGUUGUUUACUCCCUCAAGUUUCCAGUUGCCUAUUUGCGCACUUGCUUCUAUCGCUCUAUUAGAGCUUAAAAUCUCGAAUGUCGUUGUUGUGAAUGUUCCACUUUGCUAUAGUGGUUUAGCAUAGAGAGUUUUACUGUGUCAGUUUUGCUGAUUAACUAAAUUGUUUGGUGACAGAUUUUGAGUUAAAAGAGUUUGAGCAGAAAAGCAGGAUGUUUUUUCAACAGAUGCUGGGGUAUCAUCUCUUUC